UCACUGCUGCCGUAUGUGGAAUCCCUUUGGCCUGUUGGAGUUAUGGAGAUGGCCUCACUGGCAGGGUCAUUGUAUGGGAUGAUGAUUAGACUGCUGCCUUCUUAUGUGCGCACAUGGUUUACUGGCUUGAGAGAUCGUUCACUGUCAUCAUCCAUCGAGUCCUUGACUAGAGUAUGGUGCAGUCCUCCGCUUCUAUUAGAUGAGUUUUGUCAGGUAUGCCAUUCAGGCUCUUUUACCUUUUGUCUUAUUGUUAUUGACCAUGAAUGAAUUACUUUAUAUUAUACUAUAUAAUUGUCGGUCUGUCUGCUGGUUAAACUUUAACUAAUAAAGUAUAUUGAUUGCAAAAAGGUGAAGGAGUCUGUUUAUGCUGAUGAAACAUUCUCGGUGAGCGUGAACCGGUCGGCAUACGAGAUCAUUGCUACGUACAAGAAGGAAGAAACAGGGAUUGAUCUUGUGAUACGGCUUCCGAGCUGUUACCCGCUGCGGCAUGUGGAGGUUGAAUGCACGAGAAGCCUGGGCAUCAGCGAGGUCAAGUGCAGGAAAUGGCUGCUGUCGCUGACGUCGUUCGUGCGCAACCAGAAUGGCGCGGUGGCGGAGGCGAUCCGGACGUGGAAGAGCAACUUCGACAAGGAGUUUGAGGGGGUGGAGGAGUGCCCCAUCUGCUACAGCAUCCUGCACACGAGCAACCACGGGCUCCCGCGGCUGGCGUGCAAGACGUGCAAGCACAAGUUCCACGGCGCCUGCCUCUACAAGUGGUUCUCCACCUCCAACAAGUCCACAUGCCCGCUGUGCCAGACCCCCUUCUAGUUUAGUGAGCCUCUAGAAGCAAAUCCUUUCAUGUUUAGUUCUUGCCUGUUCAAAUGAUUCAUGUUGUGUCGAGUUAUACGUCAAGUUUGUUUGUGUUGUUAGCUGGGGAUGUAUGACAAGUUUUGCGUGAGCAGCCCAACAAAGAGAAGCAAAUUUUGGUACGCAGUAGGGUACUAGUCUUUCAGUAGGGAACUUCCAGAUUUUGGGAAUGUAUGACAAAUUUUGUGCAAAUAGAGGGACAUGUUGUAAUCAGGAAUUAUGCGAGAUACUUUGAGGAUGAAGAAAUCAAAGGAGCAUCAUGUAGUAUGUUCAGUUCCAC
rnacentral:lncRNA from 1 species